rnacentral:tRNA from 1 species
ACUAAUUUGGCAGAUAAGUGCGGUGGAUUUAGAAUCUAUAUAUGUAGUUUUAAUUUUAAUACAUUUAGUA